UGUAGAGCAGUCUGUCCCCCUUAACACACGAGCCAGAUUUGGAUCAAGAAACUAGAGAAACAGCCCUCUCAGCUUUGAUGUAUCCCUGAACAAGACCUUCUACUGCUUCUCAGCUGGCCAUGCUGUCGGCUCCCUGCUCAGGACUUGUGAUCUUGUUGAUAUUCGGAGGGACCAAUGGAGACUCUGUGACCCAGACAGAAGGCCCAGUUACCCUGCCUGAGGGGAAAGCUCUGACCUUGAACUGCACUUACCAGAGCAGCUAUGCAGUUGUUCUUUUCUGGUAUGUCCAGUUUCAAAACAAAGAGCCUGAGCUCCUCCUGAAAAGCUCAUCAGAAAACCAGAAGAUGGACAGCAGAGGUUUUCAGGCCAAAAAUGUUAAGAGUGACAGCUCCUUCCACCUGAAGAAACCCUCAGUGCACCUGUCGGACUCGGCUGUGUACUACUGCGUGAUGAGAGACACAGUGAGAGGGACUGCGGGGGAGCCCUGCACAAACCCUGAGGGGCGCAGGUGGGGCCUUAGUUUGUGCAGCCCUGAGGAGGGGGCAUUAUUUCCUCUUUCCGGUGUUCUAUGCUGGGGGCUUCUUCCAACUACUUCCAGCUGUGAUCCAUUGGAGCCAAGGAAAAGUGGAGUUCUUGGAUUACUCUCCAGAGAGGAACUGGUGGGGACACAGUAUAAAAAGGGAGCUAAAUUCUGUUUUCUAGAAAUGCCUCUGUGUUUAGCCCACAUAUCUCUUCUUUCCCCCGAUGGCAUACAAUCCUGAAAAGUGACAUUAACUGCUACAUGGCAGUUCAAUUGCUCUUCACUGAAAUAUUUCAUA